CUGCCCUUCAGAGGGGGAUAACUACUGGAAACGGUAGCUAAUACCCCAUAUACCUUUUAGUGUAAUGCUAAUUGGGAAAUGUCUUUUCGCUGAAGGAUGAGACUAUAUGGUAUCAGGUAGUUGGUAGGGUAAGAGCCUACCAAGCCUAUGACGCCUAGCUGGUCUGAGAGGAUGAUCAGCCACACUGGAACUGAGACACGGUCCAGACUCCUACGGGAGGCAGCAGUGGGGAAUAUUGCACAAUGGAGGAAACUCUGAUGCAGCAACGCCGCGUGGAGGAUGACACAUUUCGGUGCGUAAACUCCUUUUAUAUGGGAAGAUAAUGACGGUACCAUAUGAAUAAGCACCGGCUAACUCCGUGCCAGCAGCCGCGGUAAUACGGAGGGUGCAAGCGUUACUCGGAAUCACUGGGCGUAAAGCGCGCGCAGGCGGCUAUUUAAGUUGGGAUGUGAAAGCCUACGGCUCAACCGUAGAACUGCAUCCAAAACUAUUUAGCUAGAGUGUGGGGAGAGGAAGAUGGAAAUUAGUUGUGUAGGNGUAAAAUCCGUAGAGAUAACUAGGGAWUMCCAAANGCGAAGGCAAUCUUCUGGAACCCUACUUGACGCUGARGCGGCGAARCGYGKGGGAGCAAMCAGGAUUAGAUACCCUGGUAGUCCACGCCAGUAAAMCGAUGAAWKGUUAGUCGUCGGGGGCCUAGUGUCUUCGGUGAUGCAGCUAANCGCAUUAAACAUUCCGCCUGGGGAGUACGGUCGCAAGGAUUAAAACUCAAAGGAAUAGACGGGGACCCGCACAAGUGGUGGAGCAUGUGGUUUAAUUCGAAGAUACGCGAAGAACCUUACCUAGCCUUGACAUAUUUAAGAAUCCGAUAGAGAUAUUGGAGUGCCUUCGGGAGCUUUCUUACAGGUGCCGCACGGCUGUCGUCAGCUCGUGUCGUGAGAUGUUGGGUUAAGUCCCGCAACGAGCGCAACCCUCGUCACUAGUUACUAACGGUUCGGCCGAGGACUCUAGUGAGACUGCCUUCGUAAGGAGGAGGAAGGUGAGGACGACGUCAAGUCAUCAUGGCCCUUACGGCUAGGGCAACACACGUGCUACAAUGGCCAGGACAGUGAGACGCGAUACCGUGAGGUGGAGCAAAUCUAUAAACCUGGUCUCAGUUCGGAUUGUAGUCUGCAACUCGACUACAUGAAGCUGGAAUCACUAGUAAUCGUAGAUCAGCUAUGCUACGGUGAAUACGUUCCCGGGUCUUGUACUCACCGCCCGUCACACCAUGGGAGUUGAUUUCACCCGAAGCGGGGA
rnacentral:rRNA from 1 species